rnacentral:rRNA from 1 species
GAUGAACGCUGGCGGCGUGCCUAAUACAUGCAAGUCGAGCGAACGGACGAGAAGCUUGCUCCUCUGACGUUAGCGGCGGACGGGUGAGUAACACGUGGAUAACCUACCUAUAAGACUGGGAUAACUUCGGGAAACCGGAGCUAAUACCGGAUAAUAUUUUGAACCGCAUGGUUCAAUAGUGAAAGACGGUCUUGCUGUCACUUAUAGAUGGAUCCGCGCUGCAUUAGCUAGUUGGUAAGGUAACGGCUUACCAAGGCAACGAUGCGUAGCCGACCUGAGAGGGUGAUCGGCCACACUGGAACUGAGACACGGUCCAGACUCCUACGGGAGGCAGCAGUAGGGAAUCUUCCGCAAUGGGCGAAAGCCUGACGGAGCAACGCCGCGUGAGUGAUGAAGGUCUUCGGAUCGUAAAACUCUGUUAUUAGGGAAGAACAUAUGUGUAAGUAACUGUGCACAUCUUGACGGUACCUAAUCAGAAAGCCACGGCUAACUACGUG